GGAUGGACUCGCGGCUUAUCAGCUUGUUGGUGGGGUAGUGGCUUACCAAGGCUUUGACGGGUAGCCGGCCUGAGAGGGUGACCGGCCACAUUGGGACUGAGAUACGGCCCAGACUCCUACGGGAGGCAGCAGUGGGGGAUAUUGCACAAUGGGCGGAAGCCUGAUGCAGCAACGCCGCGUGCGGGAUGACGGCCUUCGGGUUGUAAACCGCUUUCGCCUGUGACGAAGCGUAAGUGACGGUAAUGGGUAAAGAAGCACCGGCUAACUACGUGCCAGCAGCCGCGGUGAUACGUAGGGUGCGAGCGUUGUCCGGAUUUAUUGGGCGUAAAGGGCUCGUAGUGGUUGAUCGCGUCGAAGUGUAAUCUUGGGGCUUAACCCCUGAGCGUGCUUUCAUACGGGUUGACUUGAGGAAGUAGGGGAGAAUGGAAUUCCUGCUGGAGCGGUGGAAUGCGCAGAUAUCAAGAGAACACCAGUGGCGAAGCCGGUCUCUGGGACCUUUCCUGACCCUGAGAGCGAAAGCGGUGGGUAGCGGAACAGGCUUAGCAUACCCUGCUAGUCCAUGCCUGUAAACGUGGUACUAGGUGUGGGUCCAUUCCACCGGUUCCGCGCCGUAGCUACGCU
rnacentral:rRNA from 1 species